UGAGGAAUCUUGCGCAAUGGGGGCAACCCUGACGCAGCAACGCCGCGUGAGUGAGGAAGGCCUUCGGGUCGUAAAGCUCUGUCGGAUGGAAAGAAACGGAUGCGGGUUAACGGCCUUCAUCCCUGACGGUACCAUCAGAGGAAGCACCGGCUAACUCCGUGCCAGCAGCCGCGGUAAUACGGGGGGUGCAAGCGUUGUUCGGAAUCAUUGGGCGUAAAGCGCGUGUAGGCGGCUUGGUAAGUCAGGUGUGAAAGCCCUGGGCUCAACCCAGGAAGUGCACUUGAUACUGCCUUGCUUGAGUACGGGAGAGGAAAGCGGAAUUCCUGGUGUAGAGGUGAAAUUCGUAGAUAUCAGGAGGAACACCGGUGGCGAAGGCGGCUUUCUGGCCCAAUACUGACGCUGAGACGCGAAAGCGUGGUGAGCAAACAG
rnacentral:rRNA from 1 species